CCUACGGGGGGCUGCAGUGGGGAAUCUUGCGCAAUGGGCGAAAGCCUGACGCAGCCAUGCCGCGUGAAUGAUGAAGGUCUUAGGAUUGUAAAAUUCUUUCACCGGGGACGAUAAUGACGGUACCCGGAGAAGAAGCCCCGGCUAACUUCGUGCCAGCAGCCGCGGUAAUACGAAGGGGGCUAGCGUUGCUCGGAAUUACUGGGCGUAAAGGGAGCGUAGGCGGACAUUUAAGUCAGGGGUGAAAUCCCGGGGCUCAACCUCGGAAUUGCCUUUGAUACUGGGUGUCUUGAGUAUGAGAGAGGUGUGUGGAACUCCGAGUGUAGAGGUGAAAUUCGUAGAUAUUCGGAAGAACACCAGUGGCGAAGGCGACACACUGGCUCAUUACUGACGCUGAGGCUCGAAAGCGUGGGGAGCAAACAGGAUUAGAUACCCAUGUAGUC
rnacentral:rRNA from 1 species